CGAGAUGCAAAGGGUGAAGGAAAUCGCGGGAAUUUCACAAAAUGGCGAUUUCCUGGAUUGUUCAGGCUGCGUUUAGGCACCACGGCGCCACUGCUAGUGAAAUCACUGCGGCUGCAGCUGCUUCUGCGCUAACUGCAACUACAUCUGCAGCUCUGGAAACACCUGCGAGAACUCCGGAGCGAGUCUUUCACUCAACGCCAGUUU